rnacentral:rRNA from 1 species
AUACGUAGGGGGCGAGCGUUGUCCGGAAUGAUUGGGCGUAAAGGGCGCGUAGGCGGCGCGGUAAGUCUGGAGUGAAAGUCCUGCUUUCAAGGUGGGAAUUGCUUUGGAUACUGCCGCGCUUGAGUGCAGGAGAGGUUAUCGGAAUUCACGGUGUAGCGGUGAAAUGCGUAGAGAUCGGGAGGAACACCAGUGGCGAAGGCGGGUAACUGGACUGCAACUGACGCUGAGGCGCGAAAGUGUGGGGAGCAAACAGGAUUAGAUACCCUGGUAGUCCACACUGUAAACGAUGAAUGCUAGGUGUAAGAGGUAUCGACCCCUUUUGUGCCGGAGUCAACACAAUAAGCAUUCCGCCUGGGGAGUACGGCCGCAAGGUUGAAACUCAAAUGAAUUGACGGGG